GUGAAUGUGACACACAGAGGAAAUGCUCCCAGGUUAGUCUUAUCUUUCCAAAGUCGAAACAUGUUCUCCAUAAAAUACCUGGCAUUCACACAGGAAAAAGGAACUACUAUUUCUGUCUGGUAUAGAUAGUACAUAUCUAGUGACAGCAACAGACUACUGCCGGCGCUCAUUCCUCUGCAAGUACAGUUCAUUGUAGUGGUCGGGGCAUGCAGCAGUCUGGAGAAGGGCUGACGAAGGGGCCAGCCCCCGAAACAUUGUGAACUUUUGUAUGACACAAUAAACACGUAGAGGAUAUUCCCCUUUUGCAAGUGCUA